rnacentral:rRNA from 1 species
AGUCUAGCAUGUGCGCGAGUCAUUGGGAUUCAAUAAACCUAAAGGCGCAAUGAAAGUGAAUGUCUGUUGACGCGGACUUAGGGAGGAUAGGUGCGUACACUUUCGGGUGUACAACCUCGCACUCCCGGGGCGUCUCGCACUCAUUGCGAGGUGGGGCGCACCAAGAGCGUACACGCUGGGACCCGAAAGAUGGUGAACUAUGCCUGGUCAGGACGAAGUCAGGGGAAACCCUGAUGGAGGUCCGUAGCGAUUCUGACGUGCAAAUCGAUCGUCGGAACUGGGCUUAGGGGCGAAAGACUAAUCGAACCAUCUAGUAGCUGGUUCCCACCGAAGUUUCCCUCAGGAUAGCUGGCACUAGAUUAUGGAUGAGUCUCAUCCGGUAAAGCGAAUGAUUAGAGGCAUUGGGGUCGAAACGGCCUCAACCUAUUCUCAAACUUUAAAUGGGUGAGAUCUCCGGCUUGCUCGAUUUGUGAAGCCGGAGAUCGGAUCAAUUAGUGCCAAGUGGGCCACUUUUGGUAAGCAGAACUGGCGCUGUGGGAUGAACCAAACGCAGAGUUAAAGCGCCAAAAUCGACGCUUAUGGGAUACCAUGAAAGGCGUUGGUAACUUAAGACAGCAGGACGGUGGCCAUGGAAGUCGGAA